AACGAACGCUGGCGGCAGGCUUAACACAUGCAAGUCGAGCGCCCCGCAAGGGGAGGCGGCAGACGGGUGAGUAACGCGUGGGAAUCUACCUAUCACUACGGAACAACUCCGGGAAACUGGAGCUAAUACCGUAUACGUCCGAGAGGAGAAAGAUUUAUCGGUGAUAGAUGAGCCCGCGUUGGAUUAGCUAGUUGGUGGGGUAAUGGCCUACCAAGGCGACGAUCCAUAGCUGGUCUGAGAGGAUGAUCAGCCACACUGGGACUGAGACACGGCCCAGACUCCUACGGGAGGCAGCAGUGGGGAAUAUUGGACAAUGGGCGAAAGCCUGAUCCAGCCAUGCCGCGUGAGUGAUGAAGGCC
rnacentral:rRNA from 1 species